rnacentral:rRNA from 1 species
AGGGCACCACCAGGAGUGGAGCCUGCGGCUUAAUUUGACUCAACACGGGGAAACUCACCCGGCCCGGGCACCGUAAGGAUUGACAGAUUGAUAGCUUUUUCAUGAUUCGGUGGAUGGUGGUGCAUGGCCGUUCUUAGUUCGUGGAGCGAUUUGUCUGGUUUAUUCCGAUAACGAGCGAGACUCUAGCCUACUAAAUAGUUCGCACAUUGUCUCUGUGUGUGUGACUUCUUAGAGGGAUUUUCGGUGUUCAGCCGCACGAAAUUGAGCAAUAACAGGUCUGUGAUGCCCUUAGAUGUCCGGGGCUGCACGCGCGCUACACUGGCAAAAUCAGCGUGCUUGUCCUUCCCCGAAAGGGGUUGGUAAACCCUUGAAAAUUUGCCGUGAUUGGGAUUGGAAAUUGCAAUUAUUUUCCAUGAACGAGGAAUUCCAAGUAAGUGCGAGUCAUCAGCUCGCGUUGAUUACGUCCCUGCCCUUUGUACACACCGCCCGUCGCUGCCCGGGACUGAGCCAUUUCGAGAA